rnacentral:lncRNA from 1 species
GAGCAUCCCUGCGCUGCCGUGGCCACGCGCCCGCGAGAGGCGAAGGGGCAGCACCGCCGGGCAGCCCCCAGCCAGCGGAGCUGAAGGAGGAGGAGGAGGAUGGAGACAGGGGGACCGGGCGCCCUGUGCGCUGGAGGAGGAUGAGGAUGAUGCAGAAGCCGGAUCCUCAUAGCGUGGGAAAGACUCAAGCUGCCGGCAUCCGACCGGGGAUUUAU